CGCUAAUGCUACUGAAGCAAAACACCAUCAUCGUUGUGCAGCAACAUCUGGCUCUUAUAUUAAGUUGAGCGACUAAGAAAACAAUGAACAAUUGGAUUGUGAGAAAACGUUGGUGCUCCCACUGUGUAUGCUCCAUACAGCUGCAUAUGUGCAUGCUUUUACCAGGAACAGUAAGCAGACAUCAACAGAUGAAUCAUUAGAAUGAGGGAAGCAAAGACCACUGCAGGAACAGAAUGCUCAGCUAGAGAGGCCUUUGGUGUAUCCAGUACAAAGCCAGCACUGAAGCUAUUUAUAUCCUUGAUGCAUAGUCCUGCC